UACGUAGGGUGCGAGCGUUGUCCGGAAUUAUUGGGCGUAAAGAGCUUGUAGGCGGUUUGUCGCGUCUGCUGUGAAAAUCCGGGGCUCAACUCCGGACUUGCAGUGGGUACGGGCAGGCUAGAGUGUGGUAGGGGAGACUGGAAUUCCUGGUGUAGCGGUGGAAUGCGCAGAUAUCAGGAGGAACACCGAUGGCGAAGGCAGGUCUCUGGGCCACUACUGACGCUGAGAAGCGAAAGCGUGGGGAGAGAACAGG
rnacentral:rRNA from 1 species